rnacentral:rRNA from 1 species
AGAGUUUGAUCAUGGCUCAGAUUGAACGCUGGCGGCAGGCCUAACACAUGCAAGUCGAGCGGCAGCGGGAGGAAGCUUGCUUCCUCGCCGGCGAGCGGCGGACGGGUGAGUAAUGUCUGGGGAUCUGCCCGAUGGAGGGGGAUAACCACUGGAAACGGUGGCUAAUACCGCAUAACGUCGCAAGACCAAAGUGGGGGACCUUCGGGCCUCACACCAUCGGAUGAACCCAGAUGGGAUUAGCUAGUAGGUGGGGUAAUGGCUCACCUAGGCGACGAUCCCUAGCUGGUCUGAGAGGAUGACCAGCCACACUGGAACUGAGACACGGUCCAGACUCCUACGGGAGGCAGCAGUGGGGAAUAUUGCACAAUGGGCGCAAGCCUGAUGCAGCCAUGCCGCGUGUGUGAAGAAGGCCUUCGGGUUGUAAAGCACUUUCAGCGAGGAGGAAGGUGGUGAGCUUAAUACGCUCAUCAAUUGACGUUACUCGCAGAAGAAGCACCGGCUAACUCCGUGCCAGCAGCCGCGGUAAUACGGAGGGUGCAAGCGUUAAUCGGAAUUACUGGGCGUAAAGCGCACGCAGGCGGUUUGUUAAGUCAGAUGUGAAAUCCCCGAGCUUAACUUGGGAACUGCAUUUGAAACUGGCAAGCUAGAGUCUCGUAGAGGGGGGUAGAAUUCCAGGUGUAGCGGUGAAAUGCGUAGAGAUCUGGAGGAAUACCGGUGGCGAAGGCGGCCCCCUGGACGAAGACUGACGCUCAGGUGCGAAAGCGUGGGGAGCAAACAGGAUUAGAUACCCUGGUAGUCCACGCCGUAAACGAUGUCGAUUUGGAGGUUGUGCCCUUGAGGCGUGGCUUCCGGAGCUAACGCGUUAAAUCGACCGCCUGGGGAGUACGGCCGCAAGGUUAAAACUCAAAUGAAUUGACGGGGGCCCGCACAAGCGGUGGAGCAUGUGGUUUAAUUCGAUGCAACGCGAAGAACCUUACCUACUCUUGACAUCCAGAGAACUUAGCAGAGAUGCUUUGGUGCCUUCGGGAACUCUGAGACAGGUGCUGCAUGGCUGUCGUCAGCUCGUGUUGUGAAAUGUUGGGUUAAGUCCCGCAACGAGCGCAACCCUUAUCCUUUGUUGCCAGCGGUUAGGCCGGGAACUCAAAGGAGACUGCCAGUGAUAAACUGGAGGAAGGUGGGGAUGACGUCAAGUCAUCAUGGCCCUUACGAGUAGGGCUACACACGUGCUACAAUGGCGUAUACAAAGAGAAGCGAACCUGCGAAGGCAAGCGGACCUCAUAAAGUACGUCGUAGUCCGGAUUGGAGUCUGCAACUCGACUCCAUGAAGUCGGAAUCGCUAGUAAUCGUAGAUCAGAAUGCUACGGUGAAUACGUUCCCGGGCCUUGUACACACCGCCCGUCACACCAUGGGAGUGGGUUGCAAAAGAAGUAGGUAGCUUAACCUUCGGGAGGGCGCUUACCACUUUGUGAUUCAUGACUGGGGUGAAGUCGUAACAAGGUAACCGUAGGGGAACCUGCGGUUGGAUCACCU